rnacentral:tRNA from 1 species
ACCCCCGUAGCGUAGCGGUAGCGUGCGCGUUUGUGAUGCAGGAGGUCGUGGGUUCGAAUCCCCGGCGCCC